AAUAAGCACAGCCAUAAAUUUCCUUGCCUAACUUUUAUCGUUUGUCUUAUUUAAAAUUUUUAUGAAUAGUAUUUUUAUUGUUAUGAGAUGAUAAAAUAUGAAUAGUACUUUACUCGUGACAUAUUUUUUUUAGUUUUUUCAAAAUAAAUUUAAAUAAGACGAACGAUUAAAAUUAGACAUGAAAACUUAUGACUACACUUACU
rfam:Oryza meridionalis cultivar OR44 (W2112) chromosome 4, whole genome shotgun sequence.